AGUACACUUACCAUUUCGUUGAAGCAGCUUGUCGUUCGCUACUUAAUUAAGCUUUUGCACGUGCGCCUAGAUCUAAUUAGACUCUCAUUUAAGUGACAACGGACACCAGAGGUGCACGGCCUUGAGAGAGCCGUAGCUACUCGCUACUGUGACGUACAGAAUAGAACGUGAAGGCAACAGGAGAUAGGAAGAUUAGAACAAGGCUAGGAUCAGGUGUUCAGUGUUGGAUAUAACUGGAAGAUUCGGAUUAACUUAUGCAGAAGCAGAAAUAUGGAAGCUCCUUAUUUGUCAUCUCGAUGAAGAUCCUGUUUAAUUAAUUAAAUUAAGGCAAGUCUGUUUCAGAUGGUGGACCGUGCAGCUGUGACAGUAAUUUUUAUAAAAUCGAGUUGAGUUUAUUGGGAAGUCAACUGGACUGGAAAUUGAACACAAGCUUGUUGGUUACUAUGCAGAAGUUGACGAGUGACGAGUCUGCUGCUUUUGACUUCCUGGCAGCUGAUGAUCUAGCAAACAUGUUCAUGCAGAUAUUUCCAGACUGAUUUCCAGUGUGAUAUUGGAUGUCGCUCUGACUGAGAAACUGAAUCCUCUUGUUCAGUCAUUUGAGGAUUGGAUGACGACAAAUAAAGAGAAUUUGAGAGCAUGUGAUUGCAUGCUUUGUGGUAGGGGUAGAACAAUGAUGAAUGCUUGCUGUGUAAUCGCUUUACUGCAUGGCAACAUGCAGAUUUGGAAUAGCUUUAAAAUCUUCUCAGCCAAACAUGCAGCA